CACGUAGGGUCCGAGCGUUGUCCGGAAUACUGGGCGUAAAGCGUGCGCAGGCGGCGGUCCAUGUCUGGUGUGAAAUCUCCCGGCCUUAACUGGGAGGGUGCGCCGGAAACGGGGGCUGCUGGAGUGCGGGAGAGGGUAAGCGGAAUUCCCGGUGGUAGCGGUGAAAUGCGCAGAUAUCGGGAGGAACACCAAUGGCGAAGGCAGCUCGCUGGGACGGUACUGACGCUGAGACGCGAAAGCGUGGGGAGCAAAC
rnacentral:rRNA from 1 species